GGUGGCUCAGUGGCAGAGCGCUUGCCUUGCAAUGCAUGAGACCCUGAGUUCAAUUCCUCAGCACCA
rnacentral:tRNA from 1 species